AACACAUGCAAGUCGAGCGCGAAAACACUUCGGUGUGAGUAGAGCGGCGGACGGGUGAGUAAUGCUUGGGAAUCUGCCCAGUAGUGGGGGAUAACGUGUGGAAACGCACGCUAAUACCGCAUACGUCCUACGGGAGAAAGCAGGGGAUCUUCGGACCUUGCGCUAUUGGAUGAGCCCAAGUCGGAUUAGCUAGUUGGUGGGGUAAUGGCCUACCAAGGCGACGAUCCGUAGCUGGUCUGAGAGGAUGAUCAGCCACACUGGGACUGAGACACGGCCCAGACUCCUACGGGAGGCAGCAGUGGGGAAUAUUGCACAAUGGGCGAAAGCCUGAUGCAGCCAUGCCGCGUGUGUGAAGAAGGCUCUAGGGUUGUAAAGCACUUUCAGUAGGGAGGAAAAGCUUAAGGUUAAUAACCUUGAGCCCUGACGUUACCUACAGAAGAAGCACCGGCAAACUCCGUGCCAGCAGCCGCGGUAAUACGGAGGGUGCGAGCGUUAAUCGGAAUUACUGGGCGUAAAGCGCGCGUAGGUGGUUUGAUAAGCUAGCUGUGAAAGCCCCGGGCUCAACCUGGGAACUGCAGUUAGAACUGUCUGACUAGAGUACAGUAGAGGGUGGCGGAAUUUCCUGUGUAGCGGUGAAAUGCGUAGAUAUAGGAAGGAACAUCAGUGGCGAAGGCGGCCACCUGGACUGAUACUGACACUGA
rnacentral:rRNA from 1 species